rnacentral:rRNA from 1 species
UAAUACGGAGGGUGCAAGCGUUAUCCGGAUUCACUGGGUUUAAAGGGUGCGUAGGUGGGCAGGUAAGUCAGUGGUGAAAUCCUGUAGCUUAACUACAGAACUGCCAUUGAUACUAUCUGUCUUGAAUACCCUGGAGGUGAGCGGAAUAUGUCAUGUAGCGGUGAAAUGCUUAGAUAUGACAUAGAACACCCAUUGCGAAGGCAGCUCACUACGGGAAUAUUGACGCUGAGGCACGAAAGCGUGGGGAUCAAACAGGAUUAGAUACCCUGGUAGUCCACGCCCUAAACGAUGAUCACUCGACAUCAGCGAUAAACUGUUGGUGUCUGAGCAAAAGCAUUAAGUGAUCCACCUGGGAAGUACGAUCGCAAGAUUG